rnacentral:lncRNA from 1 species
CAUCACAGUUACUAAUUCUUUUAUUUGUAGGUGGAUUGGGAUGAGGAAACAGUGGAUAUCUAGUACCUGUGGCAGCUGGAUGAUAUCAGGAUGUUAAUAAUUAUACAGAUUAUAAAGUUAUUUAAAACUGCUCUGGAAAAAAGAAAACAACAUGUUCAGGACAGCCAACUUUCAACCUGAGAGUGUAUGCGGUAUAAUCAGUUCCUCCCCCAUUGUUACUGAUAAACAGGCUCUCCAACCAACGCUGUUCUGGAAAGAGACACACCUGCAACUGAAAGCAAUUUUUGUGGAUGCGUUUACUAAGAAAUGGAAAUGGCCCCAAAUCAUCAGAGUUCAGAAGAAGA